AACGAACGCUGGCGGCAUGCCUAACACAUGCAAGUCGAACGAGACCUUCGGGUCUAGUGGCGCACGGGUGCGUAACGCGUGGGAACCUGCCCUUAGGUUCGGAAUAACUCCCCGAAAGGGGUGCUAAUACCGGAUAAUGUCUUCGGACCAAAGAUUUAUCGCCUUUGGAUGGGCCCGCGUUGGAUUAGCUAGUUGGUAGGGUAAAAGCCUGCCAAGGCGACGAUCCAUAGCUGGUCUGAGAGGAUGAUCAGCCACACUGGGACUGAGACACGGCCCAGACUCCUACGGGAGGCAGCAGUGGAGAAUAUUGGACAAUGGGCGAAAGCCUGAUCCAGCAAUGCCGCGUGAGUGAUGAAGGCCUUAGGGUUGUAAAGCUCUUUUACCCGGGAUGAUAAUGACAGUACCGGGAGAAUAAGCUCCGGCUAACUCCGUG
rnacentral:rRNA from 1 species